rnacentral:rRNA from 1 species
GACGUAGGGCGCGAGCGUUGUCCGGAUUUAUUGGGCGUAAAGAGCUCGUAGGCGGCUUGUCGCGUCGUCCGUGAAAACCUGCGGCUCAACCUGGGGGGCUGCGUUUGAUACGUGCGGGCUUGAGUUCGGAAGAGGGUCGUGGAAUUCCCAGUGUAGAGGUGAAAUUCGUAGAUAUUGGGAAGAACACCGGUGGCGAAGGCGGCGACCUGGUCCGAUACUGACGCUGAGGCGCGAAAGCGUGGGGAGCAAACAGG